AAGUUGUGAUGAAUUCUGCGCUUUCAGUGAAGAUAGGGUUUCCUCACCAUCGUCCGAUUUCCAGACGACAGAUCAGCGCCUCUGAACUU